CCUUUGACGAUUGACUUAUGUUGCCUCGGCGGGUUCUCCCGCCAGAGGAUACAUCAAAACUCCUGGUUUUAACGGUGUUGUCUGAGCUACAAGCAACGAAUCAAAACUUUCAACAACGGAUCUCUUGGUUCUGGCAUCGAUGAAGAACGCAGCGAAAUGCGAUAAGUAGUGUGAAUUGCAGAAUUCAGUGAAUCAUCGAAUCUUUGAACGCACAUUGCGCCCCUUGGUAUCCCGAGGGGCAUGCCUGUUCGAGCGUCAUUUCGCCACUCAAGCCUGGCUUGGUGUUGGGCGACGUCCUCUUUGGGGACGCGCCUCGAAACGCUCGGCGGCGUGGCACCGGCUUUAAGCGUAGCAGAAUCUUUCGCUUCAAAAGUCGGGGCCCCGUCUGCCGGAAGACCUACUCGCAAGGUUGACCUCGGAUCAGGCAGGGAUACCCGCUGAACUUAAGCAUAUCAAU
rnacentral:rRNA from 1 species